GCUUGACUGUAUCCUGGAAUUGGGUUUCGGUUUUCUUGCGCAGUCUAGGUGGGAGGCUAUGAAGAUUUCCUUCCGGGGAAAUUAGAGCCAUCAGUGAGAGACCACUCUGGAAGAACUAAAAUUCUAAUGGCGUGAUCCUUGAAUCAGGACACUUGACAGUUUCAGGUGGGCAGUUUUUCUGGGGCGGAAACCUCAUAAAAGGUAACUGAGGCGCGCAAAGGUUCCCUCAGUCUGGACGGAAAUCAGACAACGAGUGUAAAGGCAAAAGGGAGCUUGACUGCAAGACCCACAAGUCGAGCAGGAGCGAAAGCUGGCCUUAGUGAUCCGACGGUGCCGUGUGGAAGGGCCGUCGCUCAACGAAUAAAAGUUA
rnacentral:rRNA from 1 species